GGGCGGUUAGCUCAGUUGGGAGAGCAUCUGCCUUACAAGCAGGGGGUCACUGGUUCGAGCCCAGUACCGCCCACCA
rnacentral:tRNA from 1 species